rnacentral:rRNA from 1 species
GACGAACGCUGGCGGCGUGCUUAACACAUGCAAGUCGAACGGAAAGGCCCUGCUUUUGUGGGGUGCUCGAGUGGCGAACGGGUGAGUAACACGUGAGUAACCUGCCCUUGACUUUGGGAUAACUUCAGGAAACUGGGGCUAAUACCGGAUAGGAGCUCCUGCUGCAUGGUGGGGGUUGGAAAGUUUCGGCGGUUGGGGAUGGACUCGCGGCUUAUCAGCUUGUUGGUGGGGUAGUGGCUUACCAAGGCUUUGACGGGUAGCCGGCCUGAGAGGGUGACCGGCCACAUUGGGACUGAGAUGAGGCACAGACUCCUACGGGAGGCAGCAGUGGGGAAUGUUGCACAAUGGGCGGAAGCAUGAUGCAGCAACGCAGCGUGCGGGAUGACGGCAUUCGGGUUGUAAACCGCUUUCGCCUGUGACGAAGCGUGAGUGACGGUAAUGGGUAAAGAAGCACCGGCUAACUACGUG